rnacentral:rRNA from 1 species
UAUGCCGAUGGAACCGUGCUGGAGCCUGUCCGGAUGAUCACCACCAAGGACAAGGACGGGAAGGAAGAAACGUCGCUGAACCCACUUCACUCGAUCUGGGUUAGGGAGGAUCAGCAGGUACUUGGAUACUUGCUUAACAAUCUGUCAAAAGAAGUGCUUGUGCAGGUCACUUCAAUCUCCCAUGCCUACGAGCUAUGGUCUGCGUUGGCGAACAUGUUCUCCUCGCAGUCUGUGGCCCGCGUCAACAACGUGCGCAUAGCACUGGCCAACGCGCGGAAGGGGCAGCAGACAGUCAUGGCGUACUUCGCGCACAUGCGCGCACUAGCGGACGAGCUUGCCGCCGCCGGCAAACCCCUGCAAGAUGACGAGCUGGGCUCGUACAUCCUCGCCGGGCUGGAUAUGGAGUACAAGCCCCUGGUGUCUGCUCUUGACGCCAGAACCGUCCCC